rnacentral:lncRNA from 1 species
CAACUUGAAAGACAUGAAAAACUUUAGAAUUAAGAAAAUAAGAACAAAAGAAUCAACAGAAUAAGAGAUGCAGAAACCUACUUGAGAUUGAACUACACUCCACCACCUCAAGCCAGGUUAGUGACCUUCAUAGUGUCGCAUUAUGUAUCCAACUUCAUACCCCUUAUGUUUCAACAAAAAAAAAAAAAACAAAAAACAAGAAACAAUACAAAAAAAGAAAAAUUAAAAAAAAAAUCUGUACAAAAUCGCAACAAUGAUCCUUUUAUGGCAAUUCUAGCAGCAUUUACUUAAAAUCACAACAAAACUGAAUGCACUAUAAAUUGACCAUCUAAAUUAUCACUCGGUCUCAUAGCCAUUCUCAAGGUCGUAACAGAAUCUCACACAGAGGCUCCAACUAAGUCUCAGAGAGGGUUAACGACCUAGACCCACGGACUGGCGCC